rnacentral:rRNA from 1 species
GACGAACGCUGGCGGCGUGCCUAACACAUGCAAGUCGAGCGAAUGAAGUUCCUUCGGGACUGGAUUUAGCGGCGGACGGGUGAGUAACACGUGGGCAACCUGCCUCAUAGAGGGGAAUAGCCUUCCGAAAGGGAGAUUAAUACCGCAUAAGAUUGUAGUAUCGCAUGAUACAGCAAUUAAAGGAGCAAUCCGCUAUGAGAUGGGCCCGCGGCGCAUUAGCUAGUUGGUGAGGUAACGGCUCACCAAGGCGACGAUGCGUAGCCGACCUGAGAGGGUGAUCGGCCACAUUGGGACUGAGACACGGCCCAGACUCCUACGGGAGGCAGCAGUGGGGAAUAUUGCACAAUGGGGGAAACCCUGAUGCAGCAACGCCGCGUGAGUGAUGACGGCCUUAGGGUUGUAAAGCUCUGUCUUCAGGGACGAUAAUGACGGUACCUGAGGAGGAAGCCACGGCUAACUACGUG